UACGGGGGGGGGCAAGCGUUGUUCGGAAUUACUGGGCGUAAAGGGCUCGUAGGCGGCCAACUAAGUCGGAUGUGAAAUCCCCAGGCUUAACCUGGGAACUGCAUCCGAUACUGGAUGGCUUGAAUCCGGGAGAGGGAUGCGGAAUUCCAGGUGUAGCGGUGAAAUGCGUAGAUAUCUGGAGGAACACCGGUGGCGAAGGCGGCAUCCUGGACCGGUAUUGACGCUGAUGCGCGAAAGCCAGGGGAGCAAACAGG
rnacentral:rRNA from 1 species